UACAGAGGGUGCAAGCGUUAAUCGGAAUUACUGGGCGUAAAGCGCGCGUAGGUCGGUUCGUUAAGUCGAGGUGUGAAAGCCCCGGGGCCUCAACCCUGGGAAUUGCAUUUGAGACUGAAUAGCUAGGGUGCGGAAGAGGGAAGCGGAAUUUCCGGUGUAGCGGUGAAAAUGCGUAGAUAUCGGAAGGAACACCAGUGGCGAAAGCGGCUCCUGGUCCAGCACCGACGUUCAGGCACG
rnacentral:rRNA from 1 species